rnacentral:lncRNA from 1 species
CUCAAGCCAACCAGCAGAGGGAAUACAAGAGCUUUGAACGCAUCUUUGAUACGCUAGUGGAGGGCACAAAUAAGACUUCUUAUAAAAACCGUGGCAUAAAGUCAAUCCUUCGUCUUUAUUCAGCGAACUUUUGUGUGGUGAGAAUGUUGCAGUGCAACAUGUCCUCUUCAGAAAGUUGCUUUGUGAUUGCAAUCAUCUUUCACCGAUGGUAAGAGUGUUAGAUGGUGUGGCUUCGUAAGAGAUGUAAGAAGACCAAGUCCAUUUGGUGGUAUACAGUUUGGAAAGUGCUCUUCUGCGUGUUACUAAUGUGCAAAUGUAAUUUUAAAACACUGAAUAUAGUGUUACAGAAUUUUGUAUGUGCUUUUUAGAUGUAUGGAUAAAUGUCUUAAUAAAAAUGUGAACAAAACCUUAAUUUGUGUUGUGUAUAGUUAUCUGGUAAC